UACAGAGGUCUCAAGCGUUGUUCGGAUUCAUUGGGCGUAAAGGGUGCGUAGGUGGCGCGCUAAGUCAGGUGUGAAAUUUCGGAGCUUAACUCCGAAACUGCAUUUGAUACUGGCAUGCUUGAGGACUGGAGAGGGGACUGGAAUUCACGGUGUAGCAGUGAAAUGCGUAGAUAUCAAGUGGAACACCAGUGGCGAAGGCGAAUCCCUGGAAAAUACCUGACACUGAGGCACGAAAGCUAGGGGAGCAAACAGG
rnacentral:rRNA from 1 species